GAUUUUUUUUCCGUAAGACAUUUUCCAAAAGCUCCCCCUUGGUCGCUCUUCAUACGUCCUGCAUAUUCCUUCUUCUUCAUCUGUCCAGGGCUGCUUUUUUCAUUCCCCCUUUGUGCCGUUCUUCAUCUUCUUGCUUCUUCUUCGUCAAGCCCAACACCCACCGACCACCACCAUCAUCGUUAACAACUCCGGUCACCACUGACCCAUCAUCGUUCACCAAUCACCAUUGUUGCUUCUUGACUGCCAACCCGAAGG